rnacentral:rRNA from 1 species
GGCGAACGGGUGAGUAACACGUGAGUAACCUGCCCUUGACUUUGGGAUAACUUCAGGAAACUGGGGCUAAUACCGGAUAGGAGCUCCUGCUGCAUGGUGGGGGUUGGAAAGGUUUCGGCGGUUGGGGAUGGACUCGCGGCUUAUCAGCUUGUUGGUGGGGUAGUGGCUUACCAAGGCUUUGACGGGUAGCCGGCCUGAGAGGGUGACCGGCCACAUUGGGACUGAGAUACGGCCCAG